rnacentral:rRNA from 1 species
AAUUAUUUUCCUAUUACUGAAGAGAUUUUAUAAUAUUAUAAAUUAUUUACCUUUUGCAUAAUGGUUAAAUAAUAAUUUGUUAAAAUUAUAUUUCCCGAAAUUAGAAGAUCUAAUUUUAUUAUUUAUUCAUAGUUUAUAAUGUUUCAUAAUUAUUAAUAAAUAAAAUUAGUGGUGAAAGGCUUUUCAAUUCUAAUAAUAUCUGGAAUAAUUUAAAAUGUAUUUAGUACAGAAUAAAUUUGAAUAAAAAAAUGUUAAGAUUUUUUUAAAUAGAAUUUAUUAAAUCUAUAUGAAUUAAUCUUCUUAUAAAUUUUUAAUUUAUUAAUAUAUUUAUUUUUAAUCUAUAUUAAAAUUAUAUUUUAAUUUAAAUAAAAUUAAUUAUGUUUAAAUUAGUAUAUUCUUUUUAUUUAAGUAAGGAACUCGGCAAAUAGUUCAUCUGUUUAUCAAAAACAUAGCCUUAUGAUAUAAGGUAUAACCUGCCCAAUGAAAUUUUUAAAUGGCCGCAGUACCUUGACUGUGCUAAGGUAGCAUAAUAAAUUGACUUUUAAUUGGGGCCUAGAAUGAAAGGGUAGGCUAUAACUGUCUUAUUAAAUUAAUUAUAAAUUACUUAAAAAGUGAAAAUUCUUUUAAAUUAUAAAAUAGACGAGAAGACCCUAGGAGUUUAUAAUUUUGUUGGGGCGACAAUGUAGCAUAACCUACAUUAAUAUAAAUUUAACAAUAAUUUUAAUUUAAAAUAAGCUACCCUAGGGAUAACAGCAUAAUUUUUAAAGUUUGUGACCUCGAUGUUGGA